GUGCUUGCUUCGGCAGCACAUGUACUAA
rnacentral:snRNA from 1 species